GAUGAACGCUGGCGGCGUGCCUAAUACAUGCAAGUCGAGCGAACAGACGAGGAGCUUGCUCCUCUGACGUUAGCGGCGGACGGGUGAGUAACACGUGGAUAACCUACCUAUAAGACUGGGAUAACUUCGGGAAACCGGAGCUAAUACCGGAUAAUAUAUUGAACCGCAUGGUUCAAUAGUGAAAGACGGUUUUGCUGUCACUUAUAGAUGGAUCCGCGCCGCAUUAGCUAGUUGGUAAGGUAACGGCUUACCAAGGCAACGAUGCGUAGCCGACCUGAGAGGGGGAUCGGCCCCACAGGAACUGAGACACGAACCAAACCCCUACGGGAGGCAGGAGGAGGGAAGCUUCCGGAAUGGGCGAAAGCCUGACGGAGCAACGCCGCGGGAGUGAAGAAGGUCUUCGGAUCGGAAAACCUUUUUUUUAGGGAAGAAAAAAAGUGUAAGUAACUAUGCCCGGCUUGAGGGUACCGAAACAGAAAGCCCCGGCUAACUACGG
rnacentral:rRNA from 1 species